UAUUUUAUUUGAACAACAGAAUGAGCGCACGUUUUCUAAAAAGUAAGAACUGUAACUAGCAGGCUAACAUUAAAUGUUAGCCUUUAAUACUGUAAAACUAUUAAAACGUAAGUCUAUAAUAAAAA